CCUGAGCUCCCGGUGUGUGGGCUGCCCUGCCUGGAGCCACGGGCUGGGCAAGCCCCCCAGGUCCCUUCCAGCCUGACCUGGUUUAUGAUUCAGUGCCCCAGAGUGGUGACAGUGCUGAAUCUCAGUGUUCAAAUGUGCUAAUUAGAUUCAGAAAAUGUACGUGUUGUUUCAGGUUGUCACAGUGAUGAUAUCUGAGAAAUAAGAGUGGCUCCCAGCGAGCCUGAUGCAUGCGGGUGUACACCCUCAGGGAGAAAAUGGGUUAUUUUGUUAGCAAUGCAGCAGAACAUUUUCCUGUCUAAAUAAUACGAUAUUGAGAUUUUGCUAUAUAUAAAUGUCUUUUUGGGUAUGCUUUGGGUAUGUUUUUGGGAGGGGCAAUGUGUUCCUGCUGAUUUUUUUUUCUACUGUUUUUUACACAUCACACAUAAGAAUUCCUGCUUCAGGUGAUGUGCACUGAGUUUGAAAUGCCUCGACAACAGAUAAUGGGAAAUUCAGGAAAUAAUUGCUUUCUUUUGAUACCUCUUCUUCAUUUCCCCACCUCCCCCCAAAAAAACGGGAAAGACUUGGUGAGAAUAAUGCAGACUGUGCCCAUGGAGCCUGCAGGAGCAGCAGAGAACGCAGAGAAGAGACUUCUGAGUGCUUUUGCUGUUUUCCGCAGGGAUGCCCUCAGAAAUGGCCUUUAUUUUCUCUAAAUGACGGGAUGAUUUUCCUGUCUGUGAAGAUUGAGGACCAGAAGUGCUGUGUACUGAAGUCCCGUACUUAUCCGCGGGCCAGACAUCAUAGCAGUCUGUCGUAUCGCUCUGCUGAGCCUGGACUUGGAGCUAAAGGGAACAAACUGAACAGCCCGUGGUGGAUUGACUUCUAUUAGAUUCUUCAGGCAUCACCAUCAGUGUGAACUCCAUUUAAGUAACACCGUCAGAGACUUAAUUUAUUAUAUAAUUGAUAAGAAAUAUCACCUAGGAAGCCUAGACAAUGAAAGUGACUUGCACAGGAAAUAUUUCGCUAAGAGACAGCGACAUGGGAACGCACUGGAGGCAGAAAAUUGAGUUAUGGAAUAAAUAGGUAAAAAAUAAUUCUUUGCGUAUAACAAACUUCUAUUUAUUUAUUGUUGUAUGGAAUUUGGGAGGGCCUGGCAUUACUUAUUUGUAGACGACAAUAAAAUAGGAGAAGGGGAGUUAAGCAGAAGGGGCUGGAGAUGGAGAUUAAAAAGGGAGGUGGAAGCCAAAGGGGGGGGAGAGAAUUGCCAGGAGGAGCAGGAGAAAUCAAGAGAUGAAGAAACAGCUGGGAAGGCAGCGUCUGGGAAAAAGGGGGAAGAGUGAGCAGGAGGCAAGGGCAAUACUGAGCUCUGGGGGUAUCCUGCUGUAGGAGAAGCUGGAAAAUACCUCCUGCUGGGCUCUUAGAGAUGAAUUGCCUGCCUGGGAGCAGACCAAGUGCUGUCAGGGAUGCCUUUGUGCCACCACAAACUGUUUCUGUUGCAGUGGAGGGUCGUUUGCAUUUCUCUCCUAUGCAUAUUUUAAAGAGUUUGUGAUCAUCUAAUAAAUACUGCUGUCUGCAGCAUUUCUGCUGAGUGCACGAUGGUUCCUCGCUUCUGUACAUGCUUCGUAAAUGGAACCAACCUGUUGCUAGAUGAAUUUCUGUCUCGUGGAUGCUGUGACCAGGGAGAGGGGUUUGGCUUACCAGCUGCCCCUUUGGAAUUUGUCCUUUGCCAUAAUGCCUCAGUAUCAACACUUGGAUAACAGAAAUUAAGGCAAAACCCUAAAAUGGGGAAAAGAAAGGGGAAAAAAAUCAUCAAACCCUUGACAAGUUGCCAGGGCAAGAUCAGGAAGAUGAUCAUCUAAGCUAGGAAAGAGCCAGCACCUAUGGGGAAGGACACUGAAGGGUGAGAAGUGGGUAGGAGUGGGGUGCUGAAACAGCAUAAGGUCCAACAUCUCAUGAUUAACUCAUUAACUAUAAACGAAAUAACAUUUCAAGUUUCCUCCACG